UACGAAGGGGGCUAGCGUUGCUCGGAAUCACUGGGCGUAAAGCGCACGUAGGCGGAUAUUUAAGUCAGGGGUGAAAUCCCAGAGCUCAACUCUGGAACUGCCUUUGAUACUGGGUAUCUCGAGUAUGGAAGAGGUGAGUGGAAUUCCGAGUGUAGAGGUGAAAUUCGUAGAUAUUCGGAGGAACACCAGUGGCGAAGGCGGCUCACUGGUCCAUUACUGACGCUGAGGUGCGAAAGCGUGGGGAGCGAACAGG
rnacentral:rRNA from 1 species